rnacentral:piRNA from 1 species
AUUGAAUGUAAAGUUGGAAAUGU